rnacentral:rRNA from 1 species
GGGAAACUGGGGUCAAUGUCCGAUAGGUGAAGACUCCUGGAAUGGAUUUUUGCCUAAAGGGCGCUUAGGGCAUGCUUCUAGGCGUUGCCCAAGGAUGGGGCCGCGGCCGAUCAGGUUGUUGGUGAGGUAAUGGCUCACCAAGCCUUUUACCGGUUCGGGCCGUGGGAGCGGAAGCCCGGAGAUGGGUGCUGAGACAAGAACCCAGGCCCUACGGGGCGCAGCAGUCGCGAAAACUUCGCAAUAAGCGAAAGCUUGACGGGGCUAUCCCGAGUGCCAUCUGCUGAGGAUGGCUUUUACCCAGUGUAGAUAGCUGGGAGAAUAGGGAGAGGGCAAGUCUGGUGUCAGCCGCCGCGGUAAUACCAGCUCUCCGAGUGGUGGGGAUGAUUAUUGGGCCUAAAGCAUCCGUAGCCGGCUGAGCAAGUCCUCUGUUAAACCCAACGAAUUAAUCGCUGGCCUGCGGGGGAUACUGUUCGGCUAGGGGGCGAGAGAGGCCGUCGGUAUUUCCGGGGUAGGGGUGAAAUCCUAUAAUCCCGGGAGGACCACCAGUGGCGGAGGCUGUCGGCUAGAACGCGCCCGACGGUGAGGGAUGAAAGCUGGGGGAGCGAACCGGAUUAGAUACCCGGGUAGUCCCAGCUGUAAACGAUGCAGGCUAGGUGUUAGGGCGGCUACGUGCCCGCUCUAGUGCCGCAGGGAAGCUGUUAAGCCUGCCGCCUGGGGAGUACGGGUCGCAAGGCUGAAACUUAA